rnacentral:rRNA from 1 species
AUCUACAGCCAUACCAUCCUGAACGCACCCGAUCUUGUCUGAUCUCAAAAACUAAACAGGGUCAGGUCUGGUUAGUCCCAAGAGAGGAAUCCCCUUUAGUUA